AGCCUUCCCUCUGCCAACCAAACGGCCUAUAUUGAAAAGGUCCGGUCUCGGCCGGACUAUGGGGAUAAACGCGCACGUAAUAAGCGGACUGGACCCGGGUGCGAUUCCCGGCGGCUCCACCAAUCUCUUCCGGGUUAUCACGGAACUGCAUGGGGCCGAUCAGCAUCGACAGACGUGUAAAGGUGUUAUGCUUUCUCUCGGCGUGGCUCACCGUUUCGGGCCGCUAAACUAAAUGCGAACGAUAACUUCGCUGAAGAGUUCGCCAUCGCCGCGUAAUGCGGUGCGGGUGAUCUCGCCUCUUAAGUCCUAGGGGUUCAGAUCCCUAGGCGGGGCCCGGAGGGAGCCUGCCAACAGAAUCCCUCCACU
rfam:Caulobacter henricii strain CB4, complete genome.